UACGUAGGGGGCAAGCGUUGUCCGGAAUCAUUGGGCGUAAAGCGCGCGUAGGCGGCCCUGUAAGUCCGUUGUGAAAGUCAAAGGCUCAACCUUUGAAUGUCAGUGGAUACUGCCGGGCUAGAGUCCGGAAGAGGCGAGUGGAACUCCUGGUGUAGCGGUGGAAUGCGCAGAUAUCAGGAAGAACACCGACGGCGAAGGCAGCUCGCUGGGACGGUACUGACGCUGAGGCGCGAAAGCGUGGGGAGCGAAUAGG
rnacentral:rRNA from 1 species